AAUAAGAUAAGCUAACGAAGCUGUUGGGUUCAUGCCCCGAAAAUGGUAUUUAUAUCUCUUAUUA
rnacentral:tRNA from 1 species